rnacentral:rRNA from 1 species
CUGCGGAAGGAUCAUUGUUGAGAGAGCAUAGAAUGAUGGAUGAUUGUGAAUGCGUCAACGUGUCCCUUUUCUCGUCCCAUGUCAGUGGGCGUUUGACCCUACUUCGGUGCGAUCGGCACCAAGGAAUAAUGAACUCAGAAGGAGAGGGCCCUCGGCGUGCGUGGGGAGCCCAAUGCUUCGGAGACAGAUCGAAAUCAAAUGACUCUCGGCAAUGGAUAUCUCGGCUCUUGCAUCGAUGAAGAACGUAGUGAAAUGCGAUACUUGGUGUGAAUUGCAGAAUCUCGUGAACCAUUGAGUCUUUGAACGCAAGUUGUGCCCGAGGCCUUGUGGCCGAGGGCACGCCUGCUUGGGCGUCAUUGCAUCGUCGCUUUUGCUCCUUGCCUUGCUGGCGGGAAGCGCGGAUAUUGACCUCGUGUGCCCUCGGGCAUAGUCGGUCGAAGAGCGGGUAGUCGGCAAUCGUCGGGCGCGAUGGGUGUUGGUCGCCCUGUGCGUGAAUUGAACGUUGUCCCCGUCGUUUUGGGAUGAGUCCUCAAGAGACCCUAUGUGAAUGCGGCGUCACAUGAAAGUGCCGCGUCCAUCUGAUUGUGGCC